CCGGGGACCGGGAUAGCCUUCCUAACGGACGGAUAAUACCGGGCGAUUUGGCAAGGGGGCAUCUUCUUGCCAGGAAACGAAUUUCGCCUCGGGGAGGGGCUCACGUGAUAUUAGCUGGUUGGCGGGGUAACGGCCCACCAAGGCUGAGAUGUCUAGCGGGUGUGAGAGCACGACCCGCGCCACUGGCACUGAGACACUGGCCAGACUCCUACGGGAGGCUGCAGUCGAGGAUCUUCGGCAAUGGGCGCAAGCCUGACCGAGCGACGCCGCGUGCGCGAUGAAGGCCUUCGGGUUGUAAAGCGCUGUCGAGGGGGAGGAAGCUCCGCAAGGGGUUGACCUAUCCCUGGAGGAAGCACGGGCUAAGUUCGUGCCAGCAGCCGCGGUAAGACGAACCGUGCGAACGUUGUUCGGAUUCACUGGGCUUAAAGGGCGCGUAGGCGGGUCAGCAAGUCCGGGGUGAAAGCUUUCGGCUCAACCGGAAAAGGGCCUUGGAUACUGCUGGUCUGGAGGAAGGUAGGGGCGUGUGGAACUUCCGGUGGAGCGGUGAAAUGCGUAGAUAUCGGAAGGAACGCCGGUGGCGAAAGCGACACGCUGGACCUUUUCUGACGCUGAGGCGCGAAAGCCAGGGGAGCAAACGGGAUUAGAUACCCCGGUAGUCCUGGCCCUAAACGAUGGGUACUAGGUAGUGGACCGACACGGGUUCACUGCCGAAGCAAAAGUUUUAAGUACCCCGCCUGGGGAGUAUGGUCGCAAGGCUGAAACUCAAAGGAAUUGACGG
rnacentral:rRNA from 1 species